rnacentral:rRNA from 1 species
AGUGAACGCUGGCGGCGUGCUUAACACAUGCAAGUCGAACGAGAACGGAUUAUAGCUUGCUAUAAUUGUCAGCUAAGUGGCGCACGGGUGAGUAAUGUAUAGAUAACCUGCCCUCUAGAAAGGAAUAACAGUUGGAAACGACUGCUAAUGCCCUAUAAGCCUUUAAUACAUAAGUAUGCAAGGGAAACGCUUUAGUGCUAGAGGAUGGGUCUGUAUGGUAUCAGUUAGUUGGUGAGGUAAUGGCUCACCAAGACUAUGACGCCUAACUGGUUUGAGAGGAUGAUCAGUCACACUGGAACUGAGACACGGUCAGACUCCUACGGGAGGCAGCAGUAGGGAAUAUUGCACAAUGGACGAAAGUCUGAUGCAGCAACGCCGCGUGGAGGAUGACACAUUUCGGUGCGUAAACUCCUUUUAUAUAGGAAGAUAAUGACGGUACUACAUGAAUAAGCACCGGCUAACUCCGUGCCAGCCGCCGCCGUAA